UACGUAGGGUCCAAGCGUUGUCCGGAAUUAUUGGGCGUAAAGGGCUCGUAGGCGGUCUGUUGCGUCGGGAGUGAAAACUUACAGCUUAACUGUGAGCGUGCUUUCGAUACGGGCAGACUUGAGGCAUUCAGGGGAGAACGGAAUUCCUGGUGUAGCGGUGAAUGACGCAGACGUAUCAGGAGGAACACCGGUGGCGAAGGCGGUUCUCUGGGAAUGUCCUGACGCUGAGGAGCGAAAGUGUGGGGAGCGAACAGG
rnacentral:rRNA from 1 species